UGGCCCUGGGGACUCCCUUCCCUUUGUUUCUCCACAGGGAAGAGGAGGGGCUAGAGGUGCUGAAGGAGCAGAAUUGGGAGCUGCCUCUGCAGGAUGAACCUCUGUACCAGACCUACCGAGCAGCGGUGCUGUCAGAGGAGCUGUGGGGGGUCGGUGAGGAUGGGAGUCCUUCUCCAGCAAAUGCUGGAGAUGCACCCACCUUCCCACGACCCCCUGGACCUCGCAACACCCUGUGGCAGGAGCUUCCGACUGUGCAAGCCAGCGGCCUUCUGGAUACCCUCAGCCCCCAGGAGAGGCGUAUGCAGGAGAGUCUUUUCGAGGUGGUGACGUCCGAGGCUUCCUACCUGCGCUCCCUGCGGCUGCUGACCGACACCUUCGUGCUGAGCCAGGCACUCCGGGACACGCUCACCCCCCGUGAUCACCACACACUCUUCUCCAAUGUGCAGCGAGUCCAGGGAGUCAGCGAGCG
rnacentral:sRNA from 1 species